GGGCUUGGGCUGGUGACGCGUGCGCCGGCCGGCCGCCGAGGGGCUACCGUUCUGCCUCCGACCGGUCGUGUGUGGGUUUACUCGGAGGUGCUUUGCCUCUGAAGAAAAGAGAAAUACUAGGCUUUAGAAUUUCACCAUAUGAAUUUUGGGAGAGAGGAGCACAGUUCAGCCCAUAACUAACACACGACGGAAUGAAGUUGAUAAUAGUGAGACCUUGUUGGUACAAGACUAUGUAACAUAACCUGCGCUUCUCAACAAAGAAUUGCUUUUCUGACUUCUGCACUCAAUAGCAAGACAAAUCUCUCCUCUGCCUUCUCCUUAUCAGACUACUCAACAUGAAGGCAAUAAGAAUGAAGACCUCUAUGUAUAAUAAUUGACUUCCACUUAAUAAAUAAGGUUACUUGGUACACUGGUCGACAAAACCUUGAAAUGUUGAUGUUUAAGGGCUGUUGAUUGCUGGCAGCAAAGAAGUCCAACUGUGCUGGUACCCGAGAUAGCGUCUCCACAUUUUCUUCCAGGAUCAUCACCUUUGUUCUAAAUAGCUCCCACAUAGUGUGAACAGAAGUCAUAUGUUUUAGAUUUUCUGCCUUGGCACCCAGGAAACCAGUAUGAUUGAGUAAACAUAUUAAACUUCCUCUGCAUUUCCAGCCUGAACAGAUGUUGAGUACAAGCUGAUCCACCUACGUUCAACCUGAGAGAGUCCACAUCCACAGACUGUUUCAUUUCCCUUUUUCAAUUUACAUAGAAGCAUAGAUUCUUGCUGGCAUAUACAAAUGCGCCAUUUAAGGCAAUCAAAAAUGGUUCCACAUCUCAUCUGAUUUCCACAAUUGUUGCUGUAACGAUGGACUACUGAGGAGAGAGACAAUUUCUCUGGCACAUCUUCCCACAUUUUAGCAACAUGUUCAUGGAGAGCCAAUAUUCAGUAAUUACAGCCCAAUUCCUCACAAUUUCACAAUUCGCUAACAAUAUGCAUUUUCACAAUGUAAAGCUGAUUUUCCUUUAACCAAAUCAAACAUGAAAAGAUAGCUGCAUGCAAUGGGCAAUCUAGAUCAUUAGAAGAUUGAUGUAAAAUUAGAGGACACUGAGACUGGAAUAGAUUGCAAACUUCAGGGAGCUCAGAAAACUUGUAAACUCUACAUUUUGAGGAAAUAUGUUGUCGAUGCUUUUGCAACUCUAUGCAGUAACUUAACAAAUAAAGCCUUAAAGUAACUUA
rnacentral:lncRNA from 10 species